UACGUAGGUGACGAGCGUUGUCCGGAUUUACUGGGCGUAAAGAGCGCGCAGGCGGUCGUUCGAGUCGGGUGUGAAAUCCCCGGGCUCAACCUGGGAACUGCAUCUGUGACUGCAUCGCUGGAGUGCGGCAGAGGGGGAUGGAAUUCCGCGUGUAGCAGUGAAAUGCGUAGAUAUGCGGAGGAACACCGAUGGCGAAGGCAAUCCCCUGGGCCUGCACUGACGCUCAUGCACGAAAGCGUGGGGAGCAAACAGG
rnacentral:rRNA from 1 species